UACCGAGUAUAUAUAAAAAGAACAUUAAAUUUGAUUUUGAUUUUUCUUUAACUGUAUAAAUAAUAUAAACAUACUUAGAUUUCUAUGACAAUUUAAUUGAUUUUUGUUGUUUUUUUCGUAGUAUUUAGUUCUGAAUAACUCAUUAGGGUGAGGUUCGGUAAUUUAUAAGUUAGGUCGGUUAAAAUUGUGCCAGCUACCGCGGUUAGACAGAGGACCUUAGUUAAACUUUUUGAUUUUUAAAAUUAUGAGUUUUUAAUACUUAUUAUAUUUAUCUUGAAAGGUAGAAUUUUUAUAGUUGGGGAUAAUAGGUUAGUUUUUGUUUUUUUGAAGCUUUGAUUAUAGACCAGGAUUAGAUACCCUGUUAUUUUAAGGUGUAAAGGAAAUUAGGGUAGUAAUUGUUGAUCAUGAAACCUAAAAAAUUUGGCGGUGCUUUAAGCUGUUCAGAGGAAUCUGCUCUGUAAUCGAUGGUCCUCGUUUAAUUUUACUUUAUUUUGUUAUUACAGUUUGUAUACCGCCGUCUUUGAUUGCCUUUAUAGAGUUAAAGCUAUCGUUUAAAAUUUAUUUUUUAUGUCAGGUCAAGGUGCAGCUUAUGGUAAAGGUUGAAGUGGAUUACAAUUAAUUUAUUAAUACGGAUGUUUUAUUGAAAGGAUAGAAUUGAAGGUGGAUUUGAAAGUAAUUUUUUAUUAAAUAUGUAAUUGUGAAUAGGGCUCUAAGGCAUGUACACAUCGCCCGUCGCUCUCGCUUUUAGGUGAGAUAAGUCGUAACAUAGUAGAUGUAUUGGAAAAUGUAUCUAGGAGGG